UUUAGAUUAUAUCACUCCCAUAU
rnacentral:snRNA from 1 species